AAGAAGUGGAAAAGCCCCAGUAGGUCGUCUCUCCUGGAGGCACUGGCUCACUCCAGGGCGCAGCAGCCCCCCUCUUCUCUGUCCCUGUCUCACAGGGAACUUUCUGCUCUGGGUGCCUUCCUGGGAAAGGCAGCCACAUCUGCAAGAAGUCAGGAAGCUCUGUGACAAGGAGCGGCUGUGGAGCCUCCUGCCGCUCACCUCCCAGGAGGCCUCCUCAUCUUUGUCCAGGGAGCUCUUGCUAACAAUCAGUCACCCAGACAUUGUUUUUCCUCCUUUUAAUUCAACUUUUUGCUUGAAGAGACUCCAGAAUCUUGUAAGUGCAAUUAUGGGUUCUUGGGUUUGUUGAUUCUACCUUUAUAUUAUUUUGCUUAACCAUUUAUUUUAGAGGCUUUUGCUUUGCUUCAUUUCUGAUAAUACCCUUAAGACUUUUAAUGGGUUUGUUUUUCUUCCUUAAAGAAGUUAAAGAUUUUAUCUUCUUAUUAUUUUUAAUAGUAAAACAUUGAAAACUAUGAAUUGACCUCUGAGAAUCUCUGACUUCAUUCCCAAAGCUACUGUAUUAUGAGCUCUAAUUUUUGUUUGUUGUUAACAACAAAGUCUGUUGUUAACUAAUAGACUUAGGUGUUAUUUUAAUGGUUGCAUUGUAGUUUUUUUUUUUGUUUUGUUUAUGGUGCUGGGGAUUGAACCUAGGGCCGUGUAUACACAAGGCAAGCACUACAUUGUAGUUUUUAACCUUUUCUAUAAACUUUUGUUGUUACGUAUUUGUUUUUGUUAUUACUUUUCAAUAACAGUAAGAAAAAUAAAAUAGAGAUGUGGUGUUUCAAGGUAGUGGCAGCAACUGGACUCGGUGAUCCAGUGCCUGGCCAACACCAGUUCUAAUAAAAAAUGUAUUGCACUAUGAAUAGGGAACAUAAUCUGGAGAAUUUAUUCUUUUAUUUAUAUUUUGUGUCUAGUUUUUGUGUAUAUUUUACAACUCUCUAAAAGAAAGUGAAUUAUCUGCUUUUAAGGUAGCUACUCCUAUGUGCUACUACAAUUUCUAUGUUUUUAAAGCUACUACUGUAUGUUGGGCAUAAACUCAUAACAGCUGUUGUCUUUGGUGCCUGACAUUUGAAAGCAGCCCUAUCAAUCCUAAUAAAUUUGAUAGCAAAUAUCAAGCCAGUUUUAUAGAUAAGAAAACCAAGACUCAGAAUUUUUUAAAGCUUUGUGUCAUAGAUUGCUUGUAAUGUCAGUGUCUGUCUAUAAACUAUUAUCAGCAUAUUCUGAAUUUCUGAUAACUUUUCUCUUCUACAUUUUGUUUAUAUGUUAAUCUGUGCCUAAAAGUACAAUAUAUUUGUCUUCAGUGCUAGUUGGGCCUUUUAGCAAUAUAAAAUCACUCUCUUCACUCUAUUUGUUGAGCUUCACUUUUAAACUUUGGCACCGAGAUAAUGACUAUAGGAGGAGGAGAUUUACAUAUAUAAUCUUGUUAAUUUGCAUGGUAUUUAUUUUAAGGUCUCUGCCAGAUGUUGUGGACUUAGGAGGCAUGAACUUUAAAAGCUUUACUGUUGACUCAUAAGUAAAUUAAGAAAAACAAAAGUAAUUCUAUUCUUUACCUAUCUUUCAGGCAUGUUGUAUAUAGAAGAUGAAAUAAAAUGUGUCUUUAAUUAGUUUAAAGAGGUAUGUAAAUUCAACUUAGCAUUAUUUCUUCACAGGACUUCUUACUUUUCUUGCUUCUGGCCUCUCCCUCCAAAUCCACUCUCCAGCAGAAGUUAAUAAUGAAGAUUGUGAUCUAACAAGGGUUGAUACAACUUUUAAAUCUCCUGCUUUCCAGUUUCAGGAUUCUGAGACUCUGAUCAAUGGAUAAUAACUUCAUCCAUUAAAGAACUCCUAGUGUUUAGCUUUUGUGUUUCCUGAGAUAAUUCAGAGAAGCAAAAGUCUUGUCAGUAUUCGCUGCUGUGCACAAAACUCCUGUAGACACCAGAAACCAAGCCAAACUUGAUGCGGCAUUUGAAGUCAGCACUGAGACUUCCAGAUAUCACUCGAGGCGUACCCUCAGGACACAAUCUCCCAAUCAGCAACUGCCGUGCAACAAAUAUAAAGGAAACCACCUCCUCAGUAAGCCAAAUUCCUGGCAUAGUCUUUUCUCUCAGUUUCAAAAUUUCCCAUAUUUUCCUGUCAGUAUCAUUCAUCCAGACAUUUUCCAUCGAAUUAAUGUGAUUUAUUUU
rnacentral:lncRNA from 1 species